rnacentral:rRNA from 1 species
UACAGAGGGUGCGAGCGUUGUCCGGAAUCACUGGGCGUAAAGGGCGCGUAGGUGGCCUGGUAAGUAGGGGGUGAAAUCUCGCGGCUCAACUGCGAGGCUGCCUCCUAAACUGUCAGGCUCGAGCAGAGUAGAGGCAGGUGGAAUUCCUGGUGGAGCGGUGAAAUGCGCAGAUAUCAGGAGGAACACCCGUAGCGAAGGCGGCACUCUGGGCCGGAACUGACGCUGAGGAGCGAAAGCGUGGGGAGCGAACAGG